GUGGCUGCGGGCGUGAGGGGCGUGCCCAGAGCCCUCCUCUCGGGGCGGGGCCGGGGGCGCCCCGGCUCCCUGGGUCCUGGUCCUCGGGCCUGCAGGGCCUGCUGCCCGGGCCUCACCGCCCUGGCCGAGGACGCAGCCAGGCCCAGCUCGCAGUUUUUCCUCCUCCCUCCUGGUCCCCUCCUCCCAGGCGGGGCUGCCCUGCGAAGUUUGCAGGGAGGGGCGCUGGGGUGGGAGCGUGGGGCGCUGCGGUGGGAGCAGGGGUGCGGGCGUGGGGACCGAGCCCAGCCUCUGUCCCGCCCCCCCACGAGAGGCUCCUGCUGGAGGCACAGCCGCCCGCGCUGGACCGGGCAGGCCGGAAGCUGGACAGUCGGAAAAGCCGAAGGUCUUGCACAACCAGCGUCCUCUGUACCUGGCGGCCGCCCAGCCAUCGACCGGCCGCAGCCCGGGGAAGGGCCGCGCGGGGCAGCGGGACGCGGAGGAGGCGGCGUUGGAGGCCUGGGCAAGGGUGUCAAGUGCCGGGAGCCCAGAGGGCCGCGGGGAAAGGGCUUCCUUCUGGCAGCGGGGCACCCGUGUGGCCUGCGUCCAUCCUCUUGUCCCGGGGCGGAUCACACACACACACACACACACACACACACACACACACACACACACGGCAUGAAGGCCUCGCUGCUCCGGGGGAUCUGCAUCUCACACCAACGCCAGGCCCCCAGGGUCCCCAGGGACGGGGAAGCCACCUGGAAGCCUGGCUGGCCAGGCUUGGAGACCAGGGUGCACGCGGGCUUGACCCAGCAGGACAGGGAGAAGGCUUGUUGAGGGCAAAAGAUGGAACUGGAUAUAAAUCGCAGAAGUGUGCCAGGUACUUGGGAGGCCCUUAACAAAGAGGCUGAAAGUCCAAGAUCAAGGUGUCGGCAGGACCAGGCUCUCCGAAGGCCCUGAGGGAGGGUCCUUCCUGCCUUGGCAGAGGAGAGUUUCGUUCGAGCCAAGCUGAGGGCUAGCCCGGAAGCACAGCCUUCACGGAGGAGGAAAGCGCCCGGAGAAGCAUAGCUUUCAGCGAAGUUUAAACUAUUUUGGAACAAAGAACAUACACCAAGCACGACACGGAAAAUGAGACAAUAAUCAUAAGCUGUGCUGUGGAAAUGGAGAUAACCUAUGAGAGGAACUGAGAACAGUGCCUGCACAUACACGUCGUUGUCAUCAUUUCCAACACUGUUGCUGUUACCUGCCCUUCUCCCCCACCCCAUCCCACCCCCUUCCCCCAUCAGCACGUGCAUCUGAGUUUGGGGUCCCAGAAGUACAGUUUUCACUGUUUGUUUCAUAUUUGCAUGAGUUACAAGCAAUAGAA
rnacentral:lncRNA from 1 species